GUUAGCUUAGUGUAAUAAACACAUUGGACUUUCAAGCCAAAAAUACUAACUGAGUAGUUAAUU
rnacentral:tRNA from 1 species